rnacentral:rRNA from 1 species
CACCGCCCGUCGCUCCUACCGAUUGAAUGGUCCGGUGAAGUGUUCGGAUCGCGGCGACGGGGGCGGUUCGCCGACCCCGACGUCGCGAGAAGUCCAUUGAACCUUAUCAUUUAGAGGAAGGAGAAGUCGUAACAAGGUUUCCGUAGGUGAACCUGCGGAAG